UCAAUCCCCACCAAGAGAUUAGAUUCAUUAUAUCAGGAAGCUUAUACUACCAUGGAGAGAAGCAAGGUGAUGUUGCUUGCAAUGGUCAUCCUUCCAUGCAUCCUACUAUUUUCUCAGGGACAAACAACUGAUCAAGUAGAUAGUGGCAAGAUCCAAGUGUGUGGGUGUCAAGAGAAAUCUCAUCCCUGCCCAAAUAAUCUGUGUUUUUGUUGUGUACUUGAGCAAGAUGUUUGCUUUAGGACCAUCGACGAAUGCAUUUGUGGUCCUAAUUGCACCUCUUUACAUGCAACCUUCCCUCAUGCCCAUCCGCUGCAUUAAGACACUGCCAGAUUGUUGCGAUGAAAAGUAAUGUCAUCAAUAUCUUGCAAUAAAAAUAAUAUGUUGUAAUCAUCGCAUUCUUAGCUUGAUGUCAUUUGAAUGGGAAAAUAUUUUACUUUGCA